UGACUNGAGUGCAGAAGGGGAGAGUGGAAUUCCAUGUGUAGCGGUGAAAUGCGUAGAUAUAUGGAGGAACACCAGUGGCGAAAGCGGCUCUCUGNUCUGUCACUGACGCUGAGGCUCGAAAGCGUGGGUAGCGAACAGGAUUAGAUACCCUGGUAGUNCACGCCGUAAACGAUGAGUGCUAGGUGUUAGGCCCUUUCCGGGGCUUAGUGCCGGAGCUAACGCAAUAAGCACUCCGCCUGGGGAGUACGACCGCAAGGUUGAAACUCAAAGGAAUUGACGGGGGCCCGCACAAGCGGUGGAGCAUGUGGUUUAAUUCGAAGCAACGCGAAGAACCUUACCAGGUCUUGACAUCCCGAUGCUAUUCUUAGAGAUAGGAAGUUACUUCGGUACAUCGGAGACAGGUGGUGCAUGGUUGUCGUCAGCUCGUGUCGUGAGAUGUUGGGUUAAGUCCCGCGACGAGCGCAACCCUUAUUGUUAGUUGCCAUCAUUAAGUUGGGCACUCUAGCGAGACUGCCGGUAAUAAACCGGAGGAAGGUGGGGAUGACGUCAAAUCAUCAUGCCCCUUAUGACCUGGGCUACACACGCGCUACAAUGGUCGGUACAACGAGUUGCGAGCCGGUGACGGCAAGCUAAUCUCUGAAAGCCGAUCUCAGUUCGGAUUGGAGGCUGCAACUCGCCUCCAUGAAGUCGGAAUCGCUAGUAAUCGCGGAUCAGCACGCCGCGGUGAAUACGUUCCCGGGCCUUGUACACACCGCCCGUCACACCACGAGAGUUUGUAACACCCGAAGUCGGUGAGGUAACCUUUUAGGGGCC
rnacentral:rRNA from 1 species